UACGUAGGGGGCAAGCGUUGUCCGGAUUUAUUGGGCGUAAAGAGCGUGUAGGCGGCCACACAGGUCCGCUGUGAAAACUCGAGGCUCAACCUCGAGCUGUCGGUGGAAACCGUGUGGCUAGAGUCCGGAAGAGGAGAGUGGAAUUCCCGGUGUAGCGGUGAAAUGCGCAGAUAUCGGGAAGAACACCCGUGGCGAAGGCGGCUCUCUGGGACGGUACUGACGCUGAGGUGCGAAGGCCAGGGGAGCAAACGGG
rnacentral:rRNA from 1 species